UUCCAGACUCCUACGGGAGGCAGCAGUGGGGGAUAUUGCACAAUGGGGGGAACCCUGAUGUAGCGACGCCGCGUGGGUGAAGGAGUGCUUCGGCAUGUAAAGCCCUAUCGGCAGGGAAGAAGCAAGACGGUACCUGACUAAGAAGCCCCGGCUAACUCCGUGCCAGCAGCCGCGGUAAUACGGAGGGGGCGAGCGUUUAUCGGAAUUACUGGGCGUAAAGCGCACGUAGGCUGUAUGACAAGUCAAGGGUGAAAUGCCACGGCUCAACCGUGGAACUGCCUUUGAAACUGUCAAACUGGGGUAUGUGAGAGGGCGGCGGAAUUCCUGGUGUAGGAGUGAAAUCCGUAGAUAUCAGGAGGAACAUCAGUGGCGAAGGCGGCCGCCUGGCACAAAACUGACGCUGAGGUGCGAAAGCGUGGGUAGCAAACAGGAUUAGAUACCCCGGUACC
rnacentral:rRNA from 1 species